ACGGGUUUUAGAACCAGUAUGAUUUAUUUUUAAGUUUGGAAAAAUACCUAUCAAUUUGAAAUAGUAAAACGAUUCUAUAUUACAACAUAUGAUAAUAGGUUUUAAACUUUCAAACGAAUUUAAUGUUAUGUAAACAAACUGCAUAUUAAGGCUACCGAAACAAGGACGUUUAUAAACUAGAAAACAGAGAAAGAUGGUAAAACCGAAACAAGACCAUACGAAGUACAUGUAGGUGUCAAAGGCCAACUGUUAGCUAUAUGAUGAAGAUACCCAUCCUUUUCGUGUUCUAGCAACCUGGAAAUCCUUAAACAUGGCUUUGAUUAAUUGCGGCAUUCCAGAUUUCGACUGUUUAGGCUUGCAUGAAACAAAAUCUUGUGAAGAAAUGGCAUUUAAUUCAGAUUCAGGAGAAACAGUAGAUGACGAUAUUAGUCCAGAAAGUGAUACUACAGAAGAAUACAGUUCCAGUGAUGAUAUGAUAGGUUCUAACAAUUGGUCUGAUGAAUCAUUGGAAGUUGACUUCAGCAAUAACGCUGGAGUUGAUUCUACUGAACAACCUUACAAUACACCUGUAACAUUUCCUGGUACAGUUUUUUCGAGACGAAUUCAAUAUGUGAAUAUAACUAUGAACAAUUGGAAUCCGUUGAAACCAGGUUAAGCGCAAAUAAUGUUGAGUCAAAUGUUUCACCGGUUUUCUCAAAUAUACCAAAUUUACCCACGGCAGGACUGUUUGGUCACCCUUCAGCAAACUCCUUGCAUUCAGCAACAAAGUAUCCGCCAAACUCAUUUUAUCAAAGUAGUAGUUUCUCGGCAACAAACUUACCAAAUUUUACUGAAAUGAAUUCUGAAAGUUCAAGCAAUAGUCUUAUUGAUAAUGCAAGUGCUGAAGGGAAUUCAAUGUAUACCAAAGAACACUCUAUGCCAAUACUUGAAGUUAUCACGGAACGCUUUGAAUCUCUUUUUACGACAGAUGCAGCGGAAAAGGAAACUGGAGGUAGUAUUAGAACUAGAAAUAAUAAAACAUCCUUAAAAAGUAAAAGGACUAGAAGAAAAUCGAAACAAUGAAACUGAAAUAGAACUUAAAGAGAAAUUCGACAAUUUUCUGCAGGUCUGGUUCAAUGACAUGAUGAAAUGAAAACUUUAAUUUUGCUUUAAUUUUCUCUAGGUGUCAGUAAAAAAGCUAUUAGUGAGUUAUUCAUUCCGUCUUGGGCAUGGAAAAGUUGAUGAAAUCACGUAACAGAAAAACGAAAUGCAAUUCACUGUUUGCAUUACCGUAAUGAAAUCAUACAGCAAAAUAAAAAAAGACACUCUCAGCUACAUCUGCUUCAGUUAAGGGACUUCCUUUGUGCAAUACUACCUCUUCAUUAGUCGACCACCGGACAUUGGUCGGCUUCAUAAGCUCCAGGAUUUUGUCAAUGUUGAUACAAUCUAUAAAUAGGCAAAGCUGUAAAACAGUUUAGAAAAAUGUUCUUUUCAGUAGGAAUCAUUUAUAGUUAAUUGUUUAUGUAUAUAUUUAUACUGCCACCUAGAUACUCUCUGGAUCAACGCAAACUAUGACCGGAAUAUUCACGAAAAAAAAAAAAACGGUUUCAGAACGAGGUCUGGAACGUGUUGCAUGAUACCAAUACAUUUCAUACAUUUCCUUCGUUCCUUCUUUUUUCAUAUAAAUGAUUAUAUCUACGGACAUUAUUUUCAGUAAUUUACAACAUUUCAUUGAUUGGACAACCAUAGUCAAUUAGUAUUGUGUGUCUACUAAAACAGCAUUAGACCACUUUUUUGCCUGACGUCCAACAUUCACUGUGAGCUUUAUUUUCCAAUUCUAUAAAGGAGAUCUUUCAGAUUUGUAACUUGACCCUGAUUCAAUUCAAUUCUCACAGCUUUGAUUUCAUGUUUUUACAGUCGUUUGCACAUGUUUAGUUUCGUGAUUUCUACCCAGGUGCCCGCUCGUGAUGAAAUAGUGCACAGAGGGACACCUGGAGUCUUCCUCCACCAUUAAAGCUGGAAAGUCGC